rnacentral:rRNA from 1 species
GAGUUUGAUCGUGGCUCAGAUUGAACGCUGGCGGCAUGCCUUACACAUGCAAGUCGAACGGUAACAGGUCUUCGGAUGCUGACGAGUGGCGAACGGGUGAGUAAUACAUCGGAACGUGCCCGAUCGUGGGGGGAUAACGAAGCGAAAGCUUUGCUAAUACCGCAUAAGAUCUACGGAUGAAAGCAGGGGACCGCAAGGCCUUGCGCGAACGGAGCGGCCGAUGGCAGAUUAGGUAGUUGGUGGGAUAAAAGCUUACCAAGCCGACGAUCUGUAGCUGGUCUGAGAGGACGACCAGCCACACUGGGACUGAGACACGGCCCAGACUCCUACGGGAGGCAGCAGUGGGGAAUUUUGGACAAUGGGCGAAAGCCUGAUCCAGCCAUGCCGCGUGCAGGAUGAAGGCCUUCGGUUGUAAC